UGUUAUACAUGACGUUACAGUGAAGUUUAUGUCUGCUUUUUCAUCAGAGCUCAGAAGAAGAGCAGGGAGGAGAUCAGAGGGACAAACAUGAGGAGGAAACUCUGUGUGAAGAUCUCAGCACCGUUACACAGUGUAUUAAUGACAUAUCAAAGCCUGGUAAUAAGGAAGUGUCUGGGACAUGAGGACAGUGUUCCCUAAUGUCUUUCUGCAGUUCAGAGGGACAGUCCACUACAGCUCGGAGUUAUGGAGCGAUGGGAAGAUAACAAUGAUGUUUAAAGUUAAAUGUUCUGUGAUUCUCAGUGAGUCAGACUGUCUACUGGAAUAGAUUAUUCAGGAGUAUAAACACAAUAAAGACACAAGAAUAAAACUCAAAAA